GCCUAACACAUGCAAGUCGAGGGGUAAGGUCAGCUUGCUGAACACACGACCGGCGCACGGGUGAGUAUCGCGUUUGCAAUCUACCUCUAACUGGAGGAUAGCCCAAAGAAAUUCGGAUUAAUACUCCAUAAAGUCAUAAUUUCGCAUGUUAUUAUGAUUAAAGCUCCGGCGGUUAGAGAUGAGCAUGCGUGUCAUUAGCUUGUUGGUGAGGUAACAGCUCACCAAGGCAACGAUGACUAGGGGUUCUGAGAGGAUGAUCCCCCCACAAUGGAACUGAGACACGGUCCAUACUCCUACGGGAGGCAGCAGUGAGGAAUAUUGCGCAAUGGGGGCAACCCUGACGCAGCAACGCCGCGUGGACGAUGAAGGCCUUCGGGUUGUAAAGUCCUUUUCUGAAGGAAGAUAGUGACGGUACUUCAGGAAUAAGUCCCGGCUAACUACGUGCCAGCAGCCGCGGUAAAACGUAGGGGGCGAGCGUUAUCCGGAUUUACUGGGCGUAAAGCGCACGUAGGCGGCAUCGUAAGUUGGACGUGAAAGCUCCCGGCUCAGCUGGGAGAGGUCGUUCAAAACUGUGGUGCUUGAGGUUGAUAGAGGAGAGUGGAAUUCCCGGUGUAGUGGUGGAAUGCGUAGAUAUCGGGAGGAACACCAGUGGCGAAGGCGGCUCUCUAGGUCACACCUGACGCUGAGGUGCGAAAGCGUGGGGAGCGAACGGGAUUAGAUACCCCGGUAGUCCACGCUGUAAACGAUGGAUACUAGGUGUGGGAGGUUAUUUACCCCUUCUGUGCCGUAGCUAACGCGUUAAGUAUCCCGCCUGGGGACUACGGCCGCAAGGUUAAAACUCAAAGGAAUUGACGGGGGCCCGCACAAGCAGCGGAGCGUGUGGUUUAAUUCGAUGAUACGCGAAGAACCUUACCUGGGCUUGACAUGGUGGUAGUAGUGAAGCGAAAGCGGAACGACCCUUCGGGGAGCCAUCACAGGUGCUGCAUGGCUGUCGUCAGCUCGUGUCGUGAGAUGUUGGGUUAAGUCCCGCAACGAGCGCAACCCUUGUCGCUAGUUAUAUGUGUCUAGUGAGACUGCCGGUAUCAAACCGGAGGAAGGUGGGGAUGACGUCAAGUCAGCAUGGUCUUUAUGUCCAGGGCUACACACACGCUACAAUGGCCGGUACAAUGGGUUGCCAUACCGCGAGGUGGAGCUAAUCCUCAAAGCCGGUCUCAGUUCGGAUUGCAGUCUGCAACUCGACUGCAUGAAGGUGGAGUUGCUAGUAACCGCGCGUCAGCAAUAGUGCGGUGAAUGCGUUCCCGGGCCUUGUACACACCGCCCGUCACAUCAUGGGAGUCGGCAACACCUGAAGUCGGUGACCAAACC
rnacentral:rRNA from 1 species